UCAAAAGAUCGCAGCCUUCGGCAGCUCCUACGGUUGCACUGUAUUUCAAAUGCAGGAGCUGCCGAAGGCUGCGAUCUCUUAU
rnacentral:misc_RNA from 1 species